rnacentral:tRNA from 1 species
CGGGGUGUAGCUCAGUCUGGCUAGAGCGCUACGUUCGGGACGUAGAAGUCGCUGGUUCAAAUCCAGUCAUCCCGACCA